rnacentral:rRNA from 1 species
AGGACAAACGCUGGCGGCGUGCCUAAGACAUGCAAGUCGGACGGGGGCUUCGGCUCCAGUGGCGGACGGGUGAGGAACGCGUGACUGACCUGCCUUUUGGUGGGGGAUACCACCCAGAAAUGGGUGUUAAGACCGCAUACGAUCGCCGGUGUAGAGCUGGUGAGGAAAGCCUUCGGGUGCCGAAAGAGGGGGUCGCGUCGGAUUAGCUAGUUGGUGGGGUAACGGCCUACCAAGGCGAUGAUCCGUAGCUGGUCUGAGAGGACGGCCAGCCACACUGGGACUGAGACACGGCCCAGACUCCUGCGGGAGGCAGCAGUUAGGGAAUUUUGACAAUGGGCGAAAGCCUGAUCGAGUGACGCCGCGUGCGGGACGACGCCUUUCGGGGUGUAAACCGCUUUUCUCUGGGGAGAGGCAGGACGGUACCAGAGGAAGAAGCAUCGGCUAACUACGUGCCAGCAGCCGC